GAUGAACGCUGGCGGCGUGCCUAAUACAUGCAAGUCGAGCGAACAGACGAGGCGUUUGCUCCUUUCACGUUAGCGGCGGACGGGUGAGUAACACGUGGAUACUCUCCUUAUAAGACUGGGAUCACUUCGGGAAACCGGAGCUAAUACCGGAUAAUAUAUUGAACCGCAUGGUUCAAUAGUGAAAGACGGUUUUGCUGUCACUUAUAGAUGGAUCCGCGCUGCUUUAGCUAGUUGGUGAGGUCACGGCUUUCCAAGGCGACGAUGCGUAGCCGACCUGAGUGAGGGGUAGGCCACACGAGAGCGGGACCGGGGACAAGGCGCCUGCGAGAAGCAGCAGUAGGGAAUCGUCCGCAGUGGGCGAGAGCCUUGCAGAGCGGGGCCGCGUGAGUGAUGGAGAUCUUCGGAGCGUAAAACUGUGUUAUUAGUGAAGAACAAAUGUGUAAGUAACUAUACACGGCUUGACGGUACCUAGUCAGAAAGCCACGGCUAACUACGUG
rnacentral:rRNA from 1 species